rnacentral:rRNA from 1 species
GUUAUAGGGUCAAGUGACUAAGAGCAUGUGGUGGAUGCCUUGGCGAUGAUAGGCGACGAAAGACGUGAAAGCCUGCGAUAAGCUUCGGGGAGCUGGCAAAUAAGCUUUGAUCCGGAGAUUUCUGAAUGGGGAAACCCACCCUUCGGGGUAUCGCUAACUGAAUACAUAGGUUAGCGAGGCGAACCGGGUGAACUGAAACAUCUCAGUAGCUCGAGGAAAAGACAUCAACCGAGAUUCCGAAAGUAGUGGCGAGCGAAAUCGGAAGAGCCUUCUAGUGAUAGCACAACUGUUAGCAAAGCG